CAUUCCUGCUGCAAUGCUGCCUCCAAGUCACCCCAACACAUGCCAAGCAAUUAUCACAUCCCAUUUCUGGAUGUUCCAGAGGCUUUCAGAAUUAUCCAGCACACGGAAGAGGAGCUGGCUGAAUCACCUGCACCCUUUAGCUGCUCAUGCACGUAGAUGUUGCAAAAAGGAAUUGAAUUUAUAGUUAUGGACAGCCUUUAGGACUUAGGGAGAAGCUCCGUGGUUCCACUCCUUACAUGCAGUAAUUGCAUCUGUUUUAAAAGUAAAGAGUUGCCUGCACAUAGAAUCAUAGAAUCAAUAAGAUUGGAAGGACCACUUUAAGAUCAUCUAGUCCUACCAUCCACCUAUGCCUGUGACCACUCUAAACCACGUUCCUCAGUGUUAUACCUACUCUUUUCUUGAACAUCUCCAGAGAUGGUGACUCCACCAUCUCCCUAAGCAGCCUGUUCCAGCAUCACCACUCUUUUUGAAAAGAUUUUCCCUAAUAUCCAACCUGAACCUCUCCUGGCACAACUUGAAGACAUUACCUCUCAUCCUAUCUCUUUUAUCUGGAAGAAGAGGCUAACCCCCAACUUGCUACAGCGUCCUUGCAGGUAGUAGUAGAGAGCAGUAAGGUCUCCCCUGAGCCUCCUGUUCUCCAGACUGAGUAAUCCCAGUUCCCUCAGGCACUCCCCAUGAGACCUGUGCUCUAGAACCUUCAUGGCUUUGUUGCCAUUUUCUGGACACUCUCCAGGGCCUUGAUGUCUUUGUUGUAAUGUGGAGCCCAAAACCAAACACAGUACUUGAGAUGUGAAUUCACCAAUGCUGAGGACAGACGUGAUGCCUAUCAAACAUGGGAUAAAAAAUAAAUAAAUCACAGGCUGGGAAUCAGCAGCAAGAAGAAUGUCUUGAAAUUGGUGAUGAGAGUAGAGUUUCUUGGAGGUUCCUACAUAUCAGGCCCAUGUCAACACAAUUCAGGGCAAUGCAAUGCAAUGGCAUGUGCACAGGUUUCCUAUUGCAUGGACCUGAUGGUCAUCCUUAGUUCAUAACCCAGCCUCCCACAUGGAUCCUCCGUGUACUAGAUAGUCUGAUGCCAAGACCAUUGUGCUCCUCACAGAGCCAGCCUGGUAUCUUGCCUUGAUUCAAAGAUACUUUUAGGAAGAGAGGCUGUCUACAGCAGAAGACAUUUGCUCUAUGUCCUCCAUCUACUUGGCUCCUUUCGAAGCCAGUCCGCCUUAAGGUGCUGUUUCCAGGGUGGUGAUCUGAAAGUAAUCAUUGUGGAGAAAACAUACCCAAAGCCAGCUCCCAUUGUGCAGAAGGAACUGAAAAAUAGUGGUCUGGAUUCACUCUUCUUCUAUUUAGAAGUUUAGCCUGGCGUGUUUGCAGUAUGUUUGCUACACGAUAUGGAAGCACUUAUCCCAAAGAAACGAGGAAUGUAGAGUCUUCAGCCUGGGAAAGAUCUGGUAGAGGUGUGUACAAUUGUCCCUCAGAGAAGCUGAAUUGGAAACAGCUGAUCACAUUCUCUCACUUUUAUCAAGAGUGGAACUCAUCAACUGAGAUAAACUCAUGGCAGAUUCCAAAGAAACACGAGAGUUGCCUAAUGGUAAGGAAUUAAAUUUCAGAACUCAUUGCCUUGGGAUGCAGGGAUGGGUUCAGAGAGAUUAAGUACAUCUGCAACAUAAAGAUUAUUCGAAGGCUGAUUUCAGACUUGGGAUUCUGGACAGUUGUGAAUAUUUGGUCUGAGUCAGGAUGACCAUACAUAGGCUCUUUGUUUUGUUCUUCUGAAUGAGUCUCUGAGCAAUCACUGAGGGCUGGCUUGAACUCCAGCCAGUUAUGCCAGUGAUUUCUCUGAAGGGUGGCAUGAAGGAAUUGCCCAUGUCAUUCAAGAAAUCUGUGGUGCAGCAGGGUAAUUCAGCUCUUCAGCUAGCAACUGAAAACAUCCAUCAUGUCUUGUCAGCAUUUUUUUGACUUAGCUUUACCCCAGAGCUCAAGCAAUUAUUUGCAGCUGAAAAAAAGGGCAGCUACAGUCACUCGUAAGAUUUGGUCUCCUGCAUGGCUGUAUAGGAGACUUCAGUCGUCUUGUGGGCACAAAUACAGUUUCUGAAUU